AAGAGCUUGCUCUUCGAUUCAGCGGCGGACGGGUGAGUAAUGCCUAGGAAUCUGCCUGGUAGUGGGGGACAACGUUUCGAAAGGAACGCUAAUACCGCAUACGUCCUACGGGAGAAAGCAGGGGACCUUUCGGGCCUUGCGCUAUCAGAUGAGCCUAGGUCGGAUUAGCUAGUUGGUGAGGUAAUGGCUCACCAAGGCGACGAUCCGUAACUGGUCUGAGAGGAUGAUCAGUCACACUGGAACUGAGACACGGUCCAGACUCCUACGGGAGGCAGCAGUGGGGAAUAUUGGACAAUGGGCGAAAGCCUGAUCCAGCCAUGCCGCGUGUGUGAAGAAGGUCUUCGGAUUGUAAAGCACUUUAAGUUGGGAGGAAGGGCAUUAACCUAAUACGUUAGUGUUUUGACGUUACCGACAGAAUAAGCACCGGCUAACUCUGUGCCAGCAGCCGCGGUAAUACAGAGGGUGCAAGCGUUAAUCGGAAUUACUGGGCGUAAAGCGCGCGUAGGUGGUUUGUUAAGUUGGAUGUGAAAGCCCCGGGCUCAACCUGGGAACUGCAUCCAAAACUGGCAAGCUAGAGUACGGUAGAGGGUGGUGGAAUUUCCUGUGUAGCGGUGAAAUGCGUAGAUAUAGGAAGGAACACCAGUGGCGAAGGCGACCACCUGGACUGAUACUGACACUGAGGUGCGAAAGCGUGGGGAGCAAACAGGAUUAGAUACCCUGGUAGUCCACGCCGUAAACGAUGUCAACUAGCCGUUGGAAUCCUUGAGAUUUUAGUGGCGCAGCAACGCAUUAAGUGACCGCUCCCAACCCAUCAUGAAACU
rnacentral:rRNA from 1 species